CGUAGGGAGCAAGCGUUGUCCGGAUUCACUGGGUGUAAAGGGUGCGCAGGCGGAUUUGUAAGUCAGAGGUGAAAUCUCACGGCUUAACCGUGAAACUGCCUUUGAUACUGCAGAUCUUGAGUUUGGGAGAGGUUGAUGGAAUUCCAGGUGUAGCGGUGAAAUGCGUAGAUAUCUGGAAGAACACCAGUGGCGAAGGCGGUCAACUGGCCCAUAACUGACGCUCAGGCACGAAAGCGUGGGUAGCAAACAGGAUUAGAUACCCUGGUAGUCCACGCCUUAAACGAUGAUUACUUGGUGUUGGUUCUUAAUGAAUCAGUGCCGGAGGUAACCUGGUAAGUAUUCCACCUGGGGAGUACGCUCGCAAGGGUG
rnacentral:rRNA from 1 species